CCUACAGGUGGCAGCAGUGGGGAAUAUUGCACAAUGGGGGCAACCCUGAUGCAGCGACGCCGCGUGAGUGAAGAAGUAUUUCGGUAUGUAAAGUUCUAUCAGCCGGGCAGAAAAUGACGGUACCUGACUAAGAAGCCCCGGCUAACUCCGUGCCAGCAGCCGCGGUAAUACGUAGGGGUCAAGCGUUAUCCGGAUUUACUGGGUGUAAAGGGAGCGUAGACGGCAGAGCAGGUCUGAAGUGAAAGCUCGCGGCCCAACUGCGGGCCUGCUUUGGAAACUGCCCGGCUAGAGUGCUGGAGAGGUAAGCGGAAUUCCGAGUGUAGCGGUGAAAUGCGUAGAUAUUAGGAGGAACACCAGUGGCGAAGGCGGCUUACUGGACUGUAACUGACGUUGAGGCUCGAAAGCGUGGGGAGCAAACAGGAUUAGAUACCCCAGUAGUC
rnacentral:rRNA from 1 species